rnacentral:rRNA from 1 species
UACGGAGGGUGCGAGCGUUAAUCGGAAUUACUGGGCGUAAAGGGUGCGUAGGUGGUUAGUUAAGUUAUCUGUAAAAUCCCCGGGCUCAACCUGGGCAGGCCAGAUAAAACUGAUUAACUCGAGUAUGGGAGAGGGUAGUGGAAUUUCCGGUGUAGCGGUGAAAUGCGUAGAGAUCGGAAGGAACACCAGUGGCGAAGGCGGCUACCUGGCCCAAUACUGACACUGAGGCACGAAAGCGUGGGGAGCAAACAGG